rnacentral:lncRNA from 1 species
AUGCAUUCAUCCACUGUUACAGUUUCAAGUUGUUUCAUAACGAGUAUGCUGAUAGGGUAUUAUGCCCUUAUCUUAAAAAGCAUGAAACUAUUAUGAUAAAGUCUUGGAUGCAUAUGACAGUUGUAGCAACACAUGUUCAGGAUAUUCUAUCUUUACCGCCGUGAUGCGUUUCAAGUUAAACACCAUAUUAAUACAUAUGUAUUAAAA